CCAAAGGCUCUUUUAAGAGCCACUACAAAUCCAAUUAAAAGAGCUGU
rfam:Calypte anna contig3936, whole genome shotgun sequence.